UUCGUAGGCGGUGCGGCAAGUCGGGAGUGAAAUCUCUGGGCUUAACUCAGAGGCUGCUUUCGAAACUGCCGUGCUCGAGUGCGAGAGAGGUCAGUGGAAUUGCAGGUGUAGCGGUGAAAUGCGUAGAUAUCUGCAGGAACACCCGUGGCGAAGGCGGCUGACUGGAUCGCAACUGACGCUGAGGAACGAAAGCUAGGGGAGCAAACAGGAUUAGAUACCCUGGUAGUCCUAGCCCUAAACCAUCAGGACUUGGGGUGGCCCGCGUAGGCGGGUCGUCCCGUAGCUAACGCGUUAAGUCCUGCGCCUGGGGAGUACGGUCGCAAGACUGAA
rnacentral:rRNA from 1 species